GACAGAGGGUGCGAACGCUGUUCGGAAUUACUGGGCGUAAAGCGCGUGUAGGCGGCAACGCAAGUCGGGCGGGAAAUCCCACGGCUCAACCGUGGAAGUGCACUCGAAACUGCGUAGCUAGAGUCCUGGAGAGGAAGGUGGAAUGCUUGGUGUAGAGGUGAAAUUCGUAGAUAUCAAGCGGAACACCGGUGGCGAAGGCGGCCUUCUGGACAGUGACUGACGCUGAGACGCGAAAGCGUGGGGAGCAAACAGG
rnacentral:rRNA from 1 species